GACGAACCGUGCGAACGUUGUUCGGAAUCACUGGGCUUAAAGGGCGCGUAGGCGGAGGGUCCAGUCGGUGGUGAAAUCCUUCAGCUUAACUGGAGCAGUGCCGCCGAUACUGACUCUCUCGAGGGAGGUAGGGGCAUGUGGAACUCAGGGUGGAGCGGUGAAAUGCGUAGAUAUCCUGAGGAACGCCGGUGGCGAAAGCGACGUGCUGGACCUCUUCUGACGCUGAGGCGCGAAAGCCAGGGGAGCAGACGGG
rnacentral:rRNA from 1 species